ensembl:lncRNA
CAGUCAUUGUAAUUUUAUUUCACUUAAGUUGUGUUCAGAAUUUCUUAUUUUGUGUAAGAAGAGGAAGAAGACAUUCAUUACGGAUUUAGAACAACAUGAAUGUGAGUAAAUGAGAUGCAAAUUAGCUAUGCUAUACUCUCUAUAUGCAAUACAUAUUUUCCAGUUUUGACUGGGAUAAUGUUUCUUUUGUACUGUCCCUAUACAAAUAAACUUAUAAAUAAAAUAAAUAAAUAAUUAGUUAUAAUUUUUGGCUGAACUAUCCCUUUAACGCAGGCCUAAGUGCCCCCUCACAGAAACAUAUAUGCAUACUAUUCUAUUAUUUACAACAUAUUUAAGUUUCAAAGAUAAUUGACUAAAUGUGGAUGUGUAUACAAACAGACUUACUUUGCAAGGGUUAAUGAACUUAUACUGCAUCUCGCUCCAUGUCACGUUAAGUUAGCGCUUGAGCGACCGCGCGUCUGUGUGGCGGGAAGCUGGAGGGCUUGGGGUUUGUAAACAGGAAGUCUACGUUACACUCACUGUACCUGAUGCGUGGGUGAAAGAACAGGGGCAGCCCGAGCAAAAUGUGCAACGCUGGGAUCCAAAAAUGGCAGGUGUCUGCUCUGGUCUCAUCUACCCAAGGCAUUUGGUAAGCAUUGGUAUCACUACUAAUCUACAUGCUGGGUUGAUGGUCCUUUUUCCAGGGUGCUGUAAAGGUGGUGCCUUCAUUUUAGUUUCCGUUGACGGGCCUCAGUCGAGCAAAGUCAGCGGGGGUCAGUUUACCCUGUGCAGGGCAAGCCAAACAGAUAGAUACUUCAUGUCUCAUACUGCAUCUCUCCUCCCCUCCGACUCAGAUAGUCCCAGAACAUGGGCAAAGGGCCAAAGACAUCAAUCUGUGAAGUAGAGUUUCAGAAAAAAAUGUUUCCAUGUGGCUACACAUGAUUUUUAGAGACCGCAUAUUCACUGCUGUAUUUCAAAGACUUCAAAUAAAUCUAGAUUCUUGUUCGAGAAUGAAAGGCUUCAGCUGGUGAUUGUCACUGUUUGAAUUGAUGGGGGUUGGUGAGGCUUUGGGGUUGUGGAGCUUGGCCUAGUUUCAUGUCUGAUCACUACCGUAUGCACCAAAGAUCUCGCCCUCCACUGCAGGUAGUCAACGAGUGCAGCACAGCGCACCCCAAACAUCUGUGUGAUACAGCAGCCAUGGAGGAGUAUCUUUGAAGAGCUCAGAUGGCUUUUAGUGAUGUGGAAAGAGAGAAGUAAAUCAGAGAUUAGAGGGUUCGGCGAGGAGGAUGAAUGCAUGAAAAGGUUAGGGGUUCAUACUGUGCAGUGCUGUAGAGCAAACAGAUAAAAGGUGGGUUCUAUGCUCAGAUGACCUGGAAAUGGAAAACUGUGAAGAUGCACACGGUGAGAAGCUUCAACCGACAGCAGGUGCUCUGUUCCGUAGAAUGGUUUGGUUUCCCACUGAUUGCAUUUUGAGAUAUUUUUGUUCAGUAUUUUUAAACAUAACCGAAACAUACAUUCUGCCAUUCUCAUUACCAUAAUUAAUCCAGCUAUAGUUUUACUUCUGAGCUUUGUCAUUAUUCUUAUGAUUGUUA